rnacentral:rRNA from 1 species
CCUACGGGGUGCUGCAGUGGGGAAUAUUGGACAAUGGGGGGAACCCUGAUCCAGCCAUGCCGCGUGUGUGAAGAAGGCCCUCGGGUUGUAAAGCACUUUCAGUGAGGAAGAACGCCUGGUGGUUAAUACCCAUCAGGAAAGACAUCACUCACAGAAGAAGCACCGGCUAACUCCGUGCCAGCAGCCGCGGUAAUACGGAGGGUGCGAGCGUUAAUCGGAAUUACUGGGCGUAAAGCGCGCGUAGGUGGCUUGAUAAGCCGGUUGUGAAAGCCCCGGGCUCAACCUGGGAACGGCAUCCGGAACUGUCAAGCUAGAGUGCAGGAGAGGAAGGUAGAAUUCCCGGUGUAGCGGUGAAAUGCGUAGAGAUCGGGAGGAAUACCAGUGGCGAAGGCGGCCUUCUGGACUGACACUGACACUGAGGUGCGAAAGCGUGGGUAGCAAACAGGAUUAGAUACCCCAGUAGUC